rnacentral:rRNA from 1 species
CAGCAGCCGCGGUAAUACGAAGGGGGCUAGCGUUGUUCGGAUUUACUGGGCGUAAAGCGCACGUAGGCGGACUUUUAAGUCAGGGGUGAAAUCCCGGGGCUCAACCCCGGAACUGCCUUUGAUACUGGGAGUCUUGAGUUCGAGAGAGGUGAGUGGAAUUGCGAGUGUAGAGGUGAAAUUCGUAGAUAUUCGCAGGAACACCAGUGGCGAAGGCGGCUCACUGGCUCGAUACUGACGCUGAGGUGCGAAAGCGUGGGGAGCAAACAGGAUUAGAGACCCCUGUAGUCCCUGUCUCUUAUAA